CAGUUCGGACUGUAGUCUGCAACCCGACUACACGAAGCUGGAAUCGCUAGUAAUCGCGAAUCAGAAUGUCGCGGUGAAUACGUUCCCGGGUCUUGUACACACCGCCCGUCACACCAUGGGAGUCGGGAAUGCCCGAAGUCAGUGACCCAACCUAUAGGGAGGGAGCUGCCGAAGGCAGGUCUGAUAACUGGGGUGAAGUCGUAACAAGGUACC
rnacentral:rRNA from 1 species